GAUGAACGCUGGCGGCGUGCCUAAUACAUGCCAGUCGAGCGAACAGACGAAGAGCUUGCUCCUCUGACGUUAGCGGCGGACGGGUGAGUAACACGUGGAUAACCUACCUAUAAGACUGGGAUAACUUCGGGAAACCGGAGCUAAUACCGGAUAAUAUAUUGAACCGCAUGGUUCAAUAGUGAAAGACGGUUUUGCUGUCACUUAUAGAUGGAUCCGCGCCGCAUUAGCUAGUUGGUAAGGUAACGGCUUACCAAGGCAACGAUGCGUAGCCGACCUGAGAGGGUGAUCGGCCACACUGGAACUGAGACACGGUCCAGACUCCUACGGGAGGCAGCAGUAGGGAAUCUUCCGCAAUGGGCGAAAGCCUGACGGAGCAACGCCGCGUGAGUGAUGAAGGUCUUCGGAUCGUAAAACUCUGUUAUUAGGGAAGAACAAAUGUGUAAGUAACUAUGCACGUCUUGACGGUACCUAAUCAGAAAGCCACGGCUAACUACGUG
rnacentral:rRNA from 1 species